rnacentral:rRNA from 1 species
CUACGUGCCAGCAGCCGCGGUAAUACGGGGGGUGCGAGCGUUAAUCGGAAUAACUGGGCGUAAAGGGCACGCAGGCGGUGACUUAAGUGAGAUGUGAAAGCCCCGAGCUUAACUUGGGAAUUGCAUUUCAUACUGGGUCGCUAGAGUACUUUAGGGAGGGGUAGAAUUCCACGUGUAGCGGUGAAAUGCGUAGAGAUGUGGAGGAAUACCGAAGGCGAAGGCAGCCCCUUGGGAAUGUACUGACGCUCAUGUGCGAAAGCGUGGGGAGCAAACAGGAUUAGAUACCCUGGUAGUCCACGCUGUAAACGAUGUCGAUUUGGGGAUUGGGCUUUGAGCUUGGUGCCCGUAGCUAACGUGAUAAAUCGACCGCCUGGGGAGUACGGCCGCAAGGUUAAAACUCAAAUGAAUUGACGGGGGCCCGCACAAGCGGUGGAGCAUGUGGUUUAAUUCGAUGCAACGCGAAGAACCUUACCUACUCUUGACAUCCAUGGAAUCUUGUAGAGAUACGAGAGUGCUUCGGGA